rnacentral:rRNA from 1 species
CAGCCGCCGCGGUAAUACCGGCGGCCCGAGUGGCGGCUACUAUUAUUGGGCCUAAAGCGUCCGUAGCCGGGCUGGUAAGUCCUCCGGGAAAUCUGGUCGCUUAACGAUCAGACUUCCGGAGGAUACUGCUGGCCUAGGGACCGGGAGAGGCCGAGGGUAUUCCCGGGGUAGGGGUGAAAUCCUGUAAUCCCGGGAGGACCACCUGUGGCGAAGGCGCUCGGCUGGAACGGGGCCGACGGGGAGGGACGAAGGCCAGGGGAGCGAACCGGAGUAGAUACCCGGGUAGUCCUGGCUGUAAACGAUGCGGACUAGGUGUCGGGCAAGCUAAGGGCUUGUCCGGUGCCGCAGGGAAGCCGUUAAGUCCGCCGCCUGGGGAGUACGGCCGCAAGGCUGAAACUUAAAGGAAUUGGCGGG